GGGACACAGGACUUUAAUUCUUGGGUUCGCUGGCGUGUUGGCUCCUUUCCACCGGGAGAACAAUGGACUUUGUAGGUUAUGUAUGCUGAUUAUUAUUUCACCCACCGCUACUCCGGUCUUGUUGGCCAAGCAGUUGACCUCAUCUAUGUUUACACAUUUGUUCCAGUUCCUCGGAGAUCACAGGUGACCCUCCAGCCAUGAGGUUCCGUAAUCUGUUGAUCGUUGCCAUUUUGGGUGCCUUUCUAGUCUCUUUAGGUAAGAGGAACAAGCUGAGUCGCUUAUCACAUGGGAUCCCUUCUGAGACUUGAUGGCCAGACCAUGUUUGGUGGGUUCCAUGCCCUUCUCUCUGGAAAAAAUAAUGGGGAGGGGGAUUCCCGGCAGCUCACCCAAAGGGAGACAUCCAUGCAACUCUCAUGCUCCACAUAAUGCUUCCAUGUGGCCUGUUUCUUGAGCAUUCGUCCUGCCUGCUUGUGAGGAGGCCAGGCGACACCAGCUAUUUCAUGAGCGUUUAUCCUUAUUUACUUGCAAGGAGGUUAGAAGCGUCUGCCUCAAAAACCAGUAUUAUCCCCACACUGGUACCUUGGUCCUCAAACUUAACCCGUUCUGGAAGUCCGUUCCAAAAGUAAUGCAAAACAGAUUAAUCCGUUCCAUACUUUUAAAAACAACUCCUAAAACAGCAAUUUAACAUGGAAUUUUACUAUCUAAUGAAACCAUUGAUCCAUAAAACGAAAGCAAUAAACAAUUUGCUGUGGUCACUGAACUGGGUUCCACACAGUCAAAAAAAGCCACAAAAACAAAAACGCAAACUAAAUAGCAAAAACAGAUAGACCUCACUGCAACACUCAAAAUGGAGCAUGUUCGGCUUCCGAAAAACGUUCGCAAACCGGAACACUUACUUCCAGGUUUGCAGUGUUUGGGUUCCAAGGCGUUUGAGAACCAAGGUACCACCCAGCACAUUUUCACUUCACUUUCCUUAUCACAAAAAGCCUGAGCUUUCAGGAGAGUGGGUUUCCCAGUCAUCUAUAACUGCGCAACCUGAAUUUGCCGCUGUGCGACUGAAGCCCACACCAAAACAGUGACAAUGUGAGAGCACCCAGGGACACUGUUCUUAACCUGAAACUGUUCUUAACCUGAGGUACCACUUUAGCUAAUGGGGCCUCCCGCUGCCACCGCACGAUUUCUGUUCUCAUCCUGAAGCAAAGUUCUUAACCCGAGGUACUACUUCCGGGUUAGCGGAGUCUGUAACCUGAAGCGUUUGUAACCUGAGGUACCACUGUAUAAUUAUUUUUUACUAAAUAAAUUUAUUAGUUGCUUUUUUGCCAUGGCAGCUCAAAGCAACUUACAAAAUGACUUACAGAACAACAAAACAUUCAUGCAUUAAAACCGGGGGAGGGGCACAGUAGUAAUACAUCCCACCCAUUCUAUAAGGGCUACGGAGAGUUAAAAGCCAAAGGCAUGGUUAAAAAAGGAGGUUUUUUGCCUGGUUCUGAAGAUACAGUCGUACCUCUGCUUACGUAUCCCUCUGGAUAAGUACAGUGGUGCCUCGCAAGACUAAAUUAAUCCGUUCCGCGAGUCUCUUCGUCUUGCGGUUUUUUCGUCUUGCGAAGCACGGCUAUUAGCAGCUUAGCGGCUAUUAGCGGCUUAGCGGCUUAGUGGCUAUUAACGGCUUAGCGGCUUAGUGGCUAUUAACGGCUUAGCGGCUUUAAGAAAAAGGAAACAAACUCGCAAGAACUUGCAAGACGUUUCGUCUUGCAAAGCAAGCCCAUAGGGAAAUUCGUCUUGCGGAACGACUCAAAAAACGCAAAACCCUUUCGUCUAGCGAGUUUUUCGUCUUGCGAGGCAUUCGUCUUGCGGGGCACCACUAUAAGCUUCGGGUUGUGAAUGCAGCAAAUCAGGAAGUGUAUGCUUCCAGGUUUUGCCAUGCGCGCAUGCACAGAAGCGCUCAAUCGCACCGUGUGUGUGCCCUGCAUGUGUGCACAGAAGGGCGCCUCCAGUUAUCAAGUUUUUGGGAUGCGGCUGGGCAUCUGGAACGGAUCCCAUUCAUAACCGGAGGUACCACUGUAUAUAACAAUGGGACCAGGUGAGCCUUCCUGGGGAGAGCAUUUCACCAGCAGGGCGCCAAGGAAGAAAAGGCCUGUUCUCAUGUUGCUAACUUCUGGGCCUCACAUGGAGGGGGCACAAGAAGAAGGGCCUCAGAUGAUGAUUGCGGGGUUCAGGUCGAUUCAUAUGGGAAGAGGUGGUUCUUCAAGUAUUGUGGUCCUGAACAACAUAAGGAUUUAUAGGCUGAAACCAGGACUUUUUUAUUUAAAAUGCAUCUCUGGGUUAUUUGUGUGGCCUGUCUGGUGUUUUGACAUGAGUAGAAUGUGUGCUUUUAUUUAAAAUGCAUCUCUGGGUUAUUUGUGGGGCAUAGGAAUUCAUUUCCCCCAUAUAAAAAAAAGUAACAUUUUUGCCUGGUGCCUAAAGAUAUAUAAUGAAGGCGCCAGGCGAACUUCGAACUUCCCUAGGGAGAGCAUACCACAAACGGGGAGCAACUACAGAGAAGGCCCCAUUCUCGUGUUGCCACCCUCCGGACCUCUCAAGGAGAAGGCCCACGAAGGAGGGUCUCAGAUGAUGAUCUCAGGGUCUGGGUAGGUUCACAUGGGAAGAGGCGGUCCUUGAGGUAUUGCGGUCCUGAGCCAUUUAAGGCUCACUAGUUGGACCCAUAGCUGGAUCCAAGGUGGGCAGCAACAGGAAUACUACCAUGCAGAUAUCCGGUGAAUGUAUAAUAAAUGGGUCCCCAAUGCAGGUUUUGGUUAAAGGUGUGUUCUGGGUCUGAAAGGUUGAAGAUACCCAGUCUGCAAUGGCCAACCAUCAUUUCAGAUGGGGGUCUUUCUGAACCCUUACCUGGGACCUUUGACAUGAAAAGCAGGUGUUCUGCCACUAAAGUACAGACCCUCCCCCCCAUCCUAAUUGCAAAUGUAUCCCACUCCCCAGAUCAUUGUCACCCCACCCUUCCCCUUCUCUUAUAAUGGAGCGCAAGUGAUCAUGAAUCAUCAUUUUCCUUUGCUAAGGAGCCGGUUUGAACUUAUUCGCCAGGCGCUGCCGGCGGAGAGCAGGAAAAUGCCGAGGCAAUCGGUGCUUCUACAAUGAAAUCGAGAUCAGCACGUGCUACCACACAAAAAUAAAAUGCUGCCGGGAGAAGGAUUGAGAGGCGCCGGUGCCGAGACUGUUACGGAUGACCUGAGAACGUGGGCGAGAGUGUCCCGAGAGAACCGACGUCUCUGAGUCUGCAUGCUGUUUUUAGGAAAGCGGUUUCUCCCAGCUCAACAAUUCCACUGUGAAACGGAGAGGAAAUCAGGACCGCUGUGCGCAUUUGCGCAUCCUCUGACAUUGUCUUUCUUUCCUCUUCUUCCUUUCAAAGCACUCGCAGCCUUUCCAACCCCUGCUGUCAAACUGUAGCACCAAUCCCUCAUUGCAAAAACAAAU